GCUUGCGGGGGACAUUUCUUCCCCAUCCCCGUUACCCGCGGGGAUAAAUCCCCAUCGGGGAUCCCCGUCCCCGCAUAAAUUAUAAUUAGAUCGUACUUCAUUUGUUAUUAAUGUAAAACAUUUUCACUUAUACACAUUGUUAGAUGUAAAAAUCAUUAUGUGUACAUUAAAAUGAACGUAUUUGUACAACUAGUGAUCUCUUGGCAAGAUAAUUAUUUAUUUUUUAUCAUUAACUAUUAUAUGAAAACAUCGUCACAUGUAAGUUUAACGGGUCCCCGCGGGGAACGGGGAUGGGGAAUGCUUCCCCAUCCCCAUCCCCGUUUACCCGUCGGGGGAGAAAAUUUCCCCGUUUACAUCCCCGUGGGGGAAGAAAUUUCCCCAUCCCCGUCCCCUAAUAGAGGAAUUCCCCGCGGGGAAUCGGGGAUCGGGUCCCCAUUGCCAUCUCUACGCCCGCGCGCCGCAAUCCUCGCCUGCCCUCCCGACAUCGACGCCUUCCUCCCUCGCAACGCUCCGACCAUGGCGUGGGGAGAGGACGAGGCUAUCAGCCCCGACAUGGCCUCGGCGGGUCUUCACAUCUCGGAGCGGAUCGGUCGCGACGCCGCCACGCAGCUUGACCUGGAGGAGGCCCUUGAAGCCUCGCGCUACGCGUCUCACCCCUACUCUAGGCCGCUUUUCUUCUCGUCACGGGGCCCUUGAGGCGGACCGGCACCGCAUUACGUAGCAGCGACUCCGCCAGCAUCGCCGCACCGACACGUGCCUCCCGUGAGGUCGCGCUCUGCAGCACACGCAUCAGGGACGCGAUUGUCGUCGGCAUGUCGGCGGCGAGCGCAUCGGCCCCGCAUGCCGCAGGGCAGAGUCCGGGGGCAAGUCAAUUCUCGGUGACGCCUCGUCCUCCUCUGGAAAGGCAUGGGGGGGCAGCUACGAGGAGCUGCAGUCCAUCAGCGGUGGGGAGGCCCGAUGCGCGUACCUCCGCGCGCAAAACUCGGCCUACUCCCCGGUGGGGUACGUGGACUACCUGCGCCUUCGCCGGCGCACCGGCGGCCGCGUGCGCCGCGCUCGCGCUGUGGCUCGUGGUGCUCUUCUACCUCCUGGGCGACACCUAAAGGAUCACACAAUUGAUUCGGCGAUUUGCACUCCACCUGAUGUUGCUUUGCUCGCAACUUUUGCUUGCCACGACGGAGGCUAGAUCCAGCUCCUAGGUGUCCGUCGUCCUUCCAUCUCCCACCCUCCCUCGUUGGAGCACGAGCACCAAAGGUGCCCAGAUCUUCGUCGGCCCUGCCCCUGCUUCCUUCAACUCCACCACCAGGUAAUGCCCUGGACUUAAUUGAAUGGGCUCUCUUCUCACCAGGAUCGGUGUCCUGCCAUGGCUCCACGCCAUGAUUGUUGAUCCCGUGCUGUAGGUCAUCAGAAGGGGAGCAGAACCCAAGCAACUAGCCUUCUCUGCUGCCCUUGGUAUCACGAUUGGGAUCUUUCCGAAAUAUUAGGAGCACCUAAAGGAUCAACUACGAUAAAUGUUUUCAGUGAGUGUACCAAGGCCGAAUCGUUUCUUCCAUUUGGUUCUGGAAGUCGAGCAUGUGUUGGGCAGAAGUUUGUUGUUCUUGCAAUAUCGAUGUUGAUUGCCAGUCUGCUCCGCAGCUAUGAGGUAUAGCCUCAUCCAAGUUUGUCUAAAGAAAUGGACACAACAGUUACAGCAGCCACCUUCAUCUCCCAAACCCUAAGAUCAUCCUCACCAAAAGAAGGAUCUGAAGGGAGAGUUUGGCAAACAAAAAUCUGGCACGUUUGCUUUCACUGUAUUGUUUUUCACUGGUGUUACAUCAGUAUAUGAUCUUUAGUUUCCUACCGUCGUUUGGACCAUGCUGAAGUUUGGAAAGGCGACCUUGGUGAUGCAGAAGUGUCUUUUUUCCUCUGGAUUUUUGACAGACCCUGUGUGCUUCACUGGAUCUAAGUUUUUGUCAGGUUUUUGGAGCACCCGCAGGGCUGUUAGAUCACAGGAGACGUAUGUUGAUGUGUAUAAACAGACUCAUUUUUUCAGUUGGGGUUUUCUCCUCUCUGUGGAGAAUGUAAUGCCCAACGCAUGAUGUUUGUCGUGUUGAGAUGUUUUUUGAUAGUUUUUUGCGUAUGUUGUUGAUAUUGAUUUUAUUGGAUGUGAAUUCAUUCAUCCUUUCAUAGUAUAUUUGAAUUCAUGAUAGUAUCUACAUAUGUACACUGCUUAAAGAUACUAUCUACGUAUCUAUAUCUAUUACAAUUUUGUAUAAAUACUUUUUGAUAGUUUUUAAUUUGUAUGACAAAGCAGAGACACAUACACUGCUUAAAGAUAUGCGUCUGAGAACAUCAUUGCAUCAUGCCACUGGGCAUACAAGGGUGUUGAGGAAGACUCAACCCUAGAAGUGAAUUGAUGGUUGAGAGACUAUGCAUGAGGCAUGCAAAUUAACAAGACUCAUACAAGCAGCGUCGAACAGUGUGCUGAUGAUGAUCAGAGACACAAGGGCAGCACAUGAUCAGGUCUUAACAUGUUUGGCUUCCGAACAGGCUUUUCUCCAGAUCCCCAAGAAAGAAGAAGAAUAUCCGGUCACAUAUGUGUUGAUGCUCAUCCCCAACAUACAUAAAUUAUCAAUGGUAUUAUAUAUUUCCGUUGCGACGCACGGACACACACCUAGUAAUUAUAUAUGUCUGCUCAA